rnacentral:piRNA from 1 species
UGGGCAGAGAAGAAGCCGCAAGGCCCCUUG